GCUCAUUGCAAUUUACCUUUUCAAGUUCUAGCCUAAUUUCUUAAGGCUUCUGUGGAAAUCACAUCAACCAAUGUAAGGUCAUAUUUUGAUAUAUAUAAGAGGAAUGUAAAAGAUGUAACAUAAUUACAUGUGAACUAUAUAUUUGGAGAUAGAAAUUCUCUUUAGUCAUAUUCUUAACUUUUUUAGUACUACAGGUGAAAUAUCAAAAGA
rnacentral:lncRNA from 1 species